CACCUAGUACCCCCAAAUUACAAAGUAAAUGAUUAACAAAAUAGAGAGGUGCUGUAGGAGGAGGGUGAGUGGUAUUCAGUGAUAGUGACAGGAAGGAGUAUAGCACGUUCCUAUAGCUAAAUGCAGCUGUUUGGUCUAAUGAGCCUUUGUGGGCACCCCUUAUUAAAUGCCUGCUCUGUCACUAAUCCCCCCACUAGAUAGAAAAC